rnacentral:rRNA from 1 species
UACGUAGGGAGCAAGCGUUGUCCGGAAUUAUUGGGCGUAAAGAGCUCGUAGGCGGUUUGUCGCGUCUGCUGUGAAAGUUCGGGGCUCAACCCCGGAACUGCAGUGGGUACGGGCAGACUAGAGUGCGGUAGAGGAGACUGGAAUUCCUGGUGUAGCGGUGGAAUGCGCAGAUAUCAGGAGGAACACCAGUGGCGAAGGCGGGUCACUGGGACGCAACUGACGCUGAGGUGCGAAAGCGUGGGGAGCGAACAGG